UUUACACAAAUUAAAAAUUAUUAAAUAAAAAAAUGAAGUAGAUAUAAAACGGUGUUCAGUUACAAUCGUUGUGCGCCUUUUACCCUAAAAUUACUUUCGCAAUAAUAUUUCAACAAAUGGUUGCCUACUUGCCUUUUUCUUGUUUUUCUCUCCGAAACUUGUGUUUAUGAAAUGCUAUGACUCUUCCUCCUCCAAAACUAGAAAAUAUAUAUGCAAUCUCUCAUAAUUUAAAUUUUUAGAUCUAAAUGUUUGUUCCCAUUUUUGUUGCUCUUGUAAAAUAUUGGAAAAUAAGGGUUUGCACAACCACAGAUCAAGAACUCAAAGGCUAUAAAGAGCAGCAAUGGCAGAUUUGAAAAGGCAAGAAUCCAUGAACAACGACGGCAAAAUUGGAAGAAGCGAGUUCAACGUUUGAAUCUUCGGUUAGAAAUUCAAUGGCGAAUGUUGAGAAUUAAUCAAAGGUCGGUAGAGGAGAAGAACUGCGUACAAAUUAUUGCAAAAAAAAUCAUCUCUUAGUUAUUUUGCGUUUUAAUUGUAUCAGUAAUUUCGUUGAGUUGUAUUGGUAGUUUUGUUUGAUAUAGAAGAUUUGUUGAGUUGUAUUGGUAGUUUUGUUUGAUAUAGAAGAUUUCAAGUUGAUAAUUACGAAGUAUAUUGUUUUCUGUUGUUGUUAAGCUAUCAAUACUUCAACAAUUUUGCAUUUAAAUUGUACAAGUAUUAUAAUUGCUUUUCUGACUACUUUUGAGUUGGAAUUCUACCGUUUGGUUUAAUUUAAUAUUUAAUUAAAAAAUAUAGAUUAAAUGUAGGCUGCUUGAACUGAAUAUCGUGCAUUUUUUUUUAAUAAUUAAGAUAGAAUAGAGGACUGUUAACUUACAAAACCGUUCUCUAUUGUAUAAUAAUAUAAAACGGUUAAGCAAGGAAACUGUUGCCUUUUCCAUCUAC